CAGCCUGACCUUCCCCUUCUCAGUGAGCCAUCACUUACCAAUUAGCGUUCCCUCCUCAGAAGCCUGGUCCGGGCCCAUGGAGUCCCUACGCCAAGCUCACCGCACCGGCUGAAGAAAAUCCUGCUCCAAACAGUGAUAAAGACUGAAAAUAAAUGCUGGCAGCUAAAGACACAUUUUUUCCCGUCCUUCCAACAUUCACCUGCACCUCAACUCAGGAUACCUAACUGAUCAAGGAUGAGUGAUGUUGUAAAGGUGACACAGCAAAAAGGAGCCUAUCUUUCUUUCCAAGGUUUUAAAUUGCUCAAAAUUGCAUUAAACAACCCGACCGUGUCCCACCUGUCUUGCUGCCCAGCAGGUGAGAAGUUGAUGUACUGAGCGUGUCACUUUUAAUAUCUGGACUGAAUUGAACUGAACUGACACUUGAUAAAUCAGAUUCGGCAACC